rnacentral:rRNA from 1 species
GAUGAACGCUGGCGGCGUGCCUAAUACAUGCAAGUCGAGCGAACAGACGAGGUGCUUGCUCCUCUUACGUUAGCGGCGGACGGGUGAGUAACACGUGGAUAACCUACCUAUAAGACUGGGAUAACUUCGGGAAACCGGAGCUAAUACCGGAUAAUAUAUUGAACCGCAUGGUUCAAUAGUGAAAGACGGUUUUGCUGUCACUUAUAGAUGUAUCCGCGCCGCAUUAGCUAGUUGGUAAGGUAACGGCUUACCAAGGCAACGAUGCGUAGCCGACCUGAGAGGGUGAUCGGCCACACUGGAACUGAGACACGGUCCGGACUCCUACGGGAGGCAGCAGUAGGGAAUCUUCCGCAAUGGGCGAAAGCCUGACGGAGCAACGCCGCGUGAGUGAUGAAGGUCUUCGGAUCGUAAAACUCUGUUAUUAGGGAAGAACAAAUGUGUAAGUAACUAUGCACGUCUUGACGGUACCUAAUCAGAAAGCCACGGCUAACUACGUG